ensembl:lncRNA
GGGACCUUUUUAUGGGGGGGUAAUUUAAAAACAAAAUUUUCUUUGUUCACAGAUUCAUUUAAAAUAUAAACUAUUUUUAGAGAAGGAAACCAAAAAAUUAAAAAUUAUUUUCAGGCUAUUUCCUAAGGUGUGAAUUCUUUGAAAAUAAAAGGACAAUUAAUGAAUAUUCUUUUGUUUUCAUCACCAAAGCUCAACAACUUCUAUUGGAAGAAAAAGUCCCUGAAAAGCCUAACAUUCCCAGAUGAUGUGAGAAGGCUGAAUUGAUUUUUGGAUUGCCUGCUCCUAAAACGUGAAUCGUGCCAAAUUGACAAUCCUCGUCACAUCUUUAAAAGCGUUGUCCAAGUCAGUGCGCUCUGCACCCCACCGGGACUUGAUUGUGCCGUGCAGAGAAGCGGGAAACGGUGCGCGCACAAUUCCAGGCGCCCGCAGAAAGACUCCGUAGGCUCGGUGGGAGGACCGCAGGUGAUGGAACAGCCCUCGGCCUUCGUUCUGUCGUGAGUGUCACCCUCCCGCGGGAUGGCUGCUUACAGAGUCGGAGAGGAGAGGCCCAGCGCUGGAGCACGGGCAGCAUCCUGUUGCCACCACCUUUACCUUCCGACAGACAGGCACUGUUGGUCCUGAGAGGAGAACAGACAGUUGCGCACCUUCAGGCUAAGGCCAGGUCUGGGUUGCGCUUGCUUCGCGUGGGACGACUCCGUGGUGCUGUCAGGAUGAGCCCUGCUCUGUGGCCUCGUCACUCGCUUCCAACUCCCUCACUGACCCUGUAGCUUUCCAUCCCACCCCUGCCGUGGCACUAGUCCAGUUUGAACCUCGGCUAAACCAUCCCAAUUUCUCCCUUGUUAAACAGGCGCAGCUGUAUUGACUUUCGACUUCUAUGCUGCCUGGUGAAUUGAUAAUUAUAAAAAUGCUAGUGGUCUAAAUGAGAUUCGUUGGUGUACUUCAUUAAGUACGAACCUAAGAACAUUCGUACCAAAAGCCAUUUUAGGCUUUGUCUUCAUAGAGGCAAGCAGCAUAUAUUCCUUUAGUGUGAGCGUUCACAUUGAUAAUUUGCUUAUCCUUCUAUAUUUGUGGCUGAAAUCCAUCCCUGCAAUUGUCAUUUUCCCUGUGGUCAGCACCAUGUUUUUGUGUUGCUGUUUAUUAUAGAUACAGCCUUAAAAUUCCAUAUUGUGCUUUAAAAUACUUGUGGUAUUUAAAUACCUUAAUGACAUGCAUAAAGCAACUAAUACAUACAUGUUAACAGAAUGGAGUAGAAGUGUUACCAAAUAUGUGUUCAUCUCUUCAAAUUUGUGGAGAAUCAGUAGCUAAAAAUUUGAAACAAGUAAAACAUACCUGAAAAAAAAUGCAGCGCUUUGUAAAAUUAUAGUAAUCCUGGAAACUGGUUAUCAACAGUUUGUUUGGAGCUCAAAUAUAAUGACUAAUACUUAACAGAUGUUAUUACCUG